rnacentral:rRNA from 1 species
GACGAACGCUGGCGGCGUGCUUAACACAUGCAAGUCGAACGGAAAGGCCCUGCUUUUGUGGGGUGCUCGAGUGGCGAACGGGUGAGUAACACGUGAGUAACCUGCCCUUGACUUUGGGAUAACUUCAGGAAACUGGGGCUAAUACCGGAUAGGAGCUCCUGCUGCAUGGUGGGGGUUGGAAAGUUUCGGCGGUUGGGGAUGGACUCGCGGCUUAUCAGCUUGUUGGUGGGGUAGUGGCAUACCAAGGCUUUGACGGGUAGCCGGCCUGAGAGGGUGACCGGCCACAUUGGGACUGAGAUACGGCCCAGACUCCUACGGGAGGCAGCAGUGGGGAAUAUUGCACGAUGGGCGGAAGCCUGAUGCAGCAACGCCGCGUGCGGGAUGACGGCCUUCGGGUUGUAAACCGCUUUCGCCUGUGACGAAGCGUGAGUGACGGUAAUGGGUAAAGAAGCACCGGCUAACUACGUG